CCUACGGGAGGCAGCAGUGAGGAAUAUUGGUCAAUGGCCGUAAGGCUGAACCAGCCAAGUCGCGUGAAGGAAGAAGGAUCUAUGGUUUGUAAACUUCUUUUAUAGGGGAAUAAAGGUAUCCACGUGUGGAUAUUUGCAUGUACCCUAUGAAUCAGCAUCGGCUAACUACGUGCCAGCAGCCGCGGUAAUACGGAGGAUGCGAGCGUUAUCCGGAUUUAUUGGGUUUAGAGGGUGCGUAGGGUGGUUUUUAAGUCAGAGGUGAAAGUUUGUGGCUCAACCAUAACACUGCCGUUGAAACUGGGAGACUUGAGUGUGGGUGAGGUAGGCGGAAUGCGUGGUGUAGCGGUGAAAUGCGUAGAUA
rnacentral:rRNA from 1 species